ACGGAAGGCAGCAGCUAAGAAUAUUCCGCAAUGGACGAAAGUCUGACGGAGCGACGCCGCGUGAACGAUGAAGGUCGAAAGAUUGUAAAGUUCUUUUGAAUCUGACGAAUAAGCUGGAUAGGAAAUGAUUCAGUGGUGACGGUAGGAUUUGAAUAAGCAACGGCUAAUUACGUGCCAGCAGCCGCGGUAACACGUAAGUUGCGAGCGUUGUUCGGAAUUAUUGGGCGUAAAGGGCAUCUAGGCGGUAAUCCAAGCUUGGUGUGAAAUGCCGGGGCUUAACUCCGGAACUGCAUUGAGAACUAGGUUACUAGAGUCACUGAAGUGCAACCAGAAUUCCUAGUGUAGGGGUGAAAUCUGUAGAUAUUAGGAAGAAUACCAAUGGCGAAGGCAGGUUGCAGGCAGAUGACUGACGCUGAAGUGCGAAGGUGCGGGGAGCAAACAGGAUUAGAUACCCUGGUA
rnacentral:rRNA from 1 species